UACAGAGGUCCCAAGCGUUGUUCGGAUUUACUGGGCGUAAAGGGUGCGUAGGUGGCGGGGUAAGUCUGGUGUGAAAGCUCCGAGCUCAACUCGGAAAAGCAUUGGAAACUAUCCCGAUGGAGGGUCGGAGGGGAGACUGGAAUUCUCGGUGUAGCAGUGAAAUGCGUAGAUAUCGAGAGGAACACCAGUGGCGAAGGCGAGUCUCUGGACGACUCCUGACACUGAGGCACGAAAGCUAGGGGAGCAAACAGG
rnacentral:rRNA from 1 species